rnacentral:sRNA from 1 species
UCACGAUCAUAUGGGCUAUACUUCUUUUC